GGUUCAGGCUUAGGUUCAGGUUCAGGUUUAGACAUUACAUGGACACACCAUUUGAUGACUGAGAUUUUUUUGAGGGGGGGGGGCAUUUAAAGUAUGCUAAUAUUUUGUAAAUACAUUUUUUAGUUGGUUGUCACUUUGUUCAGACAGUAAUGAAAUGAGAGGGAGACAGGCUAAUGCUAUAAACAGUGGGAAGGUUGGAAGCAGGAUCCCUGUUCUCUAGAAACAGUGGGAAGGUUGGAAGCAGGAUCCCUGUUCUCUAGAAACAGUGGGAAGGUUGGAAGCAGGAUCCCUGUUCUCUAGAAACAGUGGGAAGGUUGGAAGCAGGAUCCCUGUUCUCUAGAAACAGUGGGAAGGUUGGAAGCAGGAUCCCUGUUCUCUAGAAACAGUGGGAAGGUUGGAAGCAGGAUCCCUGUUCUCUAGAAACAGUGGGAAGGUUGGAAGCAGGAUCCCUGUUCUCUAGAAACAGUGGGAAGGUUGGAAGCAGGAUCCCUGUUCUCUAGAAACAGUGGGAAGGUUGGAAGCAGGAUCCCUGUUCUCUAGAAACAGUGGGAAGGUUGGAAGCAGGAUCCCUGUUCUCUAGAAACAGUGGGAAGGUUGGAAGCAGGAUCCCUGUUCUCUAGAAACAGUGGGAAGGUUGGAAGCAGGAUCCCUGUUCUCUAGAAACAGUGGGAAGGUUGGAAGCAGGAUCCCUGUUCUCUAGAAACAGUGGGAAGGUUGGAAGCAGGAUCCCCGUUCUCAGGUGGAAAGUUGCAUGUGAUACGCGGCAGGAAUUGUCACCAAUACACUAAGGAUCUGCACAGGAAAUGGUCAUAUUGAUGGCAGUGGGUAAACAAAUCAUAGAUUGAUUGCAGUGUCCUUGUCCAUAGACUUAUUUCAAGAUAAGGGCACAAAGAUUUUGUAUUUGGGUUUAACUCUCGCUUUAAAAAUAGGGCUAAUUUCUCUAAAUCACCCAACCUUCAAGAAAAAGCUAUUGAAUAUCAAUAUUCAUGUGGUUUAUAUCUACUAGUUGAAGAUCCUCGUACUCUACACAGUCUAAUCUUGAGGGGCGUUUCUUUAAAAAAUGCAUCCAAUCCCCUUGAUCCCUUACAUAACUAGACCAAUCAUAUGCUUCAAAGUGCCACGGUUCACGGUUAAGUUAAUUGACCUUUAUUUAACUAGGCAUGUCAGUUAAGAACACGUUCGUAUUCACAAUGACGGUGCUGUGGCAAGACUGGACAAUGAUAGAGGUUCCGCUCGUGAUGUUAAAUUGCAGGCGUAGAUGCUCCGAUUUCAAAACGACUUGGAGCACAGUUCAAAAUGAACGCGUUGACUAUACAAUCUACUAAGUAGAAAGAACGUGAAAAGAGGGUAAAAUGCGGACAAUGUGUUUUA